UACGAAGGGGGCUAGCGUUGUUCGGAAUUACUGGGCGUAAAGCGAACGUAGGCGGUGUUCCAUGUCAGAGGUGAAAGCCUGGGGCUCAACUCCAGAAUUGCCUUUGAAACGGGAACGCUUGAGUCCGAGAGAGGAUGGCGGAAUUCCUAGUGUAGAGGUGAAAUUCGUAGAUAUUAGGAAGAACACCGGUGGCGAAGGCGGCCAUCUGGCUCGGUACUGACGCUCAGGUUCGAAGGCGUGGGGAGCAAACAGG
rnacentral:rRNA from 1 species